GAUUGGUUCUGCCGUGGUAGGGUGUGCGUGAGGUGGAAGAAGGGCUGUUCCUCCACGGCACGGUGGAGGAGUUCUGAAGUCCUAAAGUUGGGGCAGGACCUGCAGCAUGGUCGGAGAAGGGGCAAGAGGCCCGGCGGGAAGAAGCAGCAAGAGUAAGACAAGUAGGUCAGGGCCUGCUUAGUACUGAGGGCCAGACGGCCAGAACGAGCGUCGGGAGACAGGAGGAGUGUCCGGGGUUUUCGCCCUCCUUUUUUCUCUUACCAAACCCAAAUGGUCCUGCUCCCCAGGUAGGCUGAGGAUACAGCAGAGAAAAUGUGUUUAGCCCCUUAAAGAGAUAGGGGGCUGUGGGUUUGCUAUUUUUAAGAAAGCAAACGGCUUUGGAGUCUAAAAGGCUAAGCUUCCUGCCCUCCCACUGAGGGUCUACCUGAGGAGGUCUAGACUUGCCUGCAAAGAAGGUAGACUUGAGGGUAAUAGUGGAAAGACAAGUAGCCCCUAUUCAUCGGCCUUCCUCACCCCCUUCUCUUGACUCCAGCUGUUGGCUUCUGUGUGACUAGGGAGAUCAGAGACCACUCACAGAGGCCUGAUCAAGAGAGAAGCUAACACAAAGGAGACCAAAGAUGAGAACCCUGAACUCUUAGCCCCUUUUUUUCCUUCAGUGGGUUCGUUGUCACUUUCAACCAAAAGAUUCCUGACUAAAGCAGACUUAGCAUACAGCAAGGCUCUGUCCUGUUUUGUCCCUGCUUACUUCAACCUCAUCUGGGUCACUCCACCCCCAGCUCCACAUUCCAACUAUUGGCAAGGUCUUCAGGAUCCUUGAACAUCUUAUCCGUCCCAUCAUCCCCCACACUUCAGGGACUUAAAUGCAUGGUUCUCUUGGGCUCUUUUAUAACCCAUGUUCCCCUCAUCACCUUCUACUUAACUUUGAGCAUUUGGCAGGAAUGUCAAUUCCUUAAGGAAGCUGCGCCUGACCAAGAACUAGAUCAGAUACUUUGUUAUAUGUUUCCAGAGCAUGUCCAAUGAAUAAAUGAAUCCACCUGAGGCAGUGGCUGCCUCUCUAGAUUAUGAAUCAACACAGUGCCUGGCAUAUUAUUAUAAGGGCUCAACAGGUCGUGGAAUUAAGGGAAGAAGCAGAAAAGUUCUAGAAGAGGACUGGAGAAGUAGAAGGACUACAGACCCCAUGAUGCACAUGGAAAUGGGCGUAAAUCUGCACGACUUGUUCCGGGGCAUGCGCAUGUGUAAGCGCACAAUAAUCUCUUAAGAAUUAAAGAAACCUUGUAACAAAGAAAAGUAGUGAAGAAAAGCCUUAAGGAAAAGAGAAGGAAUGUGUGUAGUCCCUCUGCUUAAGGAAAAGAUAGAGGGUGGGAAGAUCUUCCUUCAACAAUUUAGAUCAACAUUUGUUAGGUAUAUGUGGUUUGCCAGGAAACUGCAUGUGUGUUGUGGA
rnacentral:lncRNA from 1 species